rnacentral:rRNA from 1 species
CCUACGGGGGGCAGCAGUGGGGGAUAUUGCACAAUGGUCGAAACCCUGAUGCAGCAACGCCGCGUGAGUGAAGCAGUAUUUCGGUAUGUAAAGCUCUAUCAGCAUGGAAGAGAAUGACGGUACCUGACUAAGACGCCCCGUCUAACUACAUGCCAGGAGCCGCGGUAAUACGUAGGGGGAGAGCGUUGUCCGGAUUUACUGGGUGGAAAGGGCGCGUAGACGGCUGGUUAAGUCUGAAGUGAAAGCCCGGGGCUUAACCCCGGAAAGGCUUGGGAAACUGGGCAGCUAGAGUGCUGGAGAGGUAAGUGGAAUUCCUAGGGUAGCGGGGAAAUGCGUAGAGAUUAGGAGGAACACCAGUGGCGAAGGCGGCUUACGGGACAGUAACUGACGUUGAGGCUCGAAAGGGUGGGGAGCAAACAGGAUUAGAUACCCUUGUAGGC